rnacentral:rRNA from 3 species
AGAGUUUGAUCCUGGCUCAGAUUGAACGCUGGCGGCAUGCUUUACACAUGCAAGUCGGACGGCAGCACAGGGAAGCUUGCUUCUCGGGUGGCGAGUGGCGAACGGGUGAGUAACAUAUCGGAACGUACCGGGUAGCGGGGGAUAACUGAUCGAAAGAUCAGCUAAUACCGCAUACGUCUUGAGAGGGAAAGCAGGGGACCUUCGGGCCUUGCGCUAUCCGAGCGGCCGAUAUCUGAUUAGCUGGUUGGCGGGGUAAAGGCCCACCAAGGCGACGAUCAGUAGCGGGUCUGAGAGGAUGAUCCGCCACACUGGGACUGAGACACGGCCCAGACUCCUACGGGAGGCAGCAGUGGGGAAUUUUGGACAAUGGGCGCAAGCCUGAUCCAGCCAUGCCGCGUGUCUGAAGAAGGCCUUCGGGUUGUAAAGGACUUUUGUCAGGGAAGAAAAGGCUGUUGCCAAUAUCGGCGGCCGAUGACGGUACCUGAAGAAUAAGCACCGGCUAACUACGUGCCAGCAGCCGCGGUAAUACGUAGGGUGCGAGCGUUAAUCGGAAUUACUGGGCGUAAAGCGGGCGCAGACGGUUACUUAAGCAGGAUGUGAAAUCCCCGGGCUCAACCCGGGAACUGCGUUCUGAACUGGGUGACUCGAGUGUGUCAGAGGGAGGUGGAAUUCCACGUGUAGCAGUGAAAUGCGUAGAGAUGUGGAGGAAUACCGAUGGCGAAGGCAGCCUCCUGGGAUAACACUGACGUUCAUGUCCGAAAGCGUGGGUAGCAAACAGGAUUAGAUACCCUGGUAGUCCACGCCCUAAACGAUGUCAAUUAGCUGUUGGGCAACUUGAUUGCUUGGUAGCGUAGCUAACGCGUGAAAUUGACCGCCUGGGGAGUACGGUCGCAAGAUUAAAACUCAAAGGAAUUGACGGGGACCCGCACAAGCGGUGGAUGAUGUGGAUUAAUUCGAUGCAACGCGAAGAACCUUACCUGGUUUUGACAUGUGCGGAAUCCUCCGGAGACGGAGGAGUGCCUUCGGGAGCCGUAACACAGGUGCUGCAUGGCUGUCGUCAGCUCGUGUCGUGAGAUGUUGGGUUAAGUCCCGCAACGAGCGCAACCCUUGUCAUUAGUUGCCAUCAUUCGGUUGGGCACUCUAAUGAGACUGCCGGUGACAAGCCGGAGGAAGGUGGGGAUGACGUCAAGUCCUCAUGGCCCUUAUGACCAGGGCUUCACACGUCAUACAAUGGUCGGUACAGAGGGUAGCCAAGCCGCGAGGCGGAGCCAAUCUCACAAAACCGAUCGUAGUCCGGAUUGCACUCUGCAACUCGAGUGCAUGAAGUCGGAAUCGCUAGUAAUCGCAGGUCAGCAUACUGCGGUGAAUACGUUCCCGGGUCUUGUACACACCGCCCGUCACACCAUGGGAGUGGGGGAUACCAGAAGUAGGUAGGGUAACCGCAAGGAGUCCGCUUACCACGGUAUGCUUCAUGACUGGGGUGAAGUCGUAACAAGGUAGCCGUAGGGGAACCUGCGGCUG